GAUGAACGCUGGCGGCGUGCCUAAUACAUGCAAGUCGAGCGAACAGACGAGGAGCUUGCUCCUCUGACGUUAGCGGCGGACGGGUGAGUAACACGUGGAUAACCUACCUAUAAGACUGGGAUAACUUCGGGAAACCGGAGCUAAUACCGGAUAAUAUAUUGAACCGCAUGGUUCAAUAGUGAAAGACGGUUUUGCCGUCACUUAUAGAUGGAUCCGCGCCGCAUUAGCUAGUUGGUAAGGUAACGGCUUACCAAGGCAACGAUGCGUAGCCGACCUGAGAGGGUGAUCGGCCACACUGGAACUGAGACACGGCCCAGACUCCUACGGGAGGCAGCAGUAGGGAAUCUUCCGCAAUGGGCGAAAGCUUGACGGAGCAACGCCGCGUGAGUGAUGAAGGUCUUCGGAUCGUAAAACUCUGUUAUUAGGGAAGAACAAAUGUGUAAGUAACUAUGCACGUCUUGACGGUACCUAAUCAGAAAGCCACGGCUAACUACGUG
rnacentral:rRNA from 1 species